rnacentral:rRNA from 1 species
AGCAGCCGCGGUAAUUCCAGCUCCAAUAGCGUAUAUUAAAGUUGUUGCAGUUAAAAAGCUCGUAGUUGAAUUUCGGGAUCAAUAUGUUGGUCGUGCCUUUGGUACGUACUAGCUUAUUGAUUUCUCCCUUCUGACGAACCAUGAUGUCAUUAAUUUGGUGUCAUGGGGAAUCAGGACUGUUACUUUGAAAAAUUAGAGUGUUUAAAGCAGGCUUACGCUUGAAUAUAUUAGCAUGGAAUAAUGAAAUAGGACGUUUUGAUUCUAUUUUGUUGGUUUCUAGGAUCGACGUAAUGAUUAAUAGGGAUAGUUGGGGGCAUUAGUAUUCAAUUGUCAGAGGUGAAAUUCUUGGAUUUAUUGAAGACUAACUACUGCGAAAGCAUUUGCCAAGGAUGUUUUCAUUAAUCAAGAACGAAAGUUAGGGGAUCGAAGACGAUCAGAUACCGUCGUAGU